rnacentral:rRNA from 1 species
ACUCCCAACCCCUGUGACAUACCACUUGUUGCCUCGGCGGAUCAGCCCGCUCCCGGUAAAACGGGACGGCCCGCCAGAGGACCCCUAAACUCUGUUUCUAUAUGUAACUUCUGAGUAAAACCAUAAAUAAAUCAAAACUUUCAACAACGGAUCUCUUGGUUCUGGCAUCGAUGAAGAACGCAGCAAAAUGCGAUAAGUAAUGUGAAUUGCAGAAUUCAGUGAAUCAUCGAAUCUUUGAACGCACAUUGCGCCCGCCAGUAUUCUGGCGGGCAUGCCUGUUCGAGCGUCAUUUCAACCCUCAAGCACAGCUUGGUGUUGGGACUCGCGUUAAUUCGCGUUCCCCAAAUUGAUUGGCGGUCACGUCGAGCUUCCAUAGCGUAGUAGUAAAACCCUCGUUACUGGUAAUCGUCGCGGCCACGCCGUUAAACCCCAACUUCUGAAUGUUGACCUCGGAUCAGGUAGGAAUACCCGCUGAACUUAAGCAUAUCAAUAAGCGGGGGAAAAGAA